UACCGAAUUGUCAACAUGAAGUUGUUGCUGGCCCUCAGAUGGGGGCAUGUGCACACUCUGUUUACACAUCCACUCACACCUGUGCACUCUCUGUAGUUCUAUGGUUUGGGGGCUCGGUCCCCCUGCUGUGGUUCUGCGUAUUUACACACACACACUGUAAUAAAGUCUCAUGGAAUGUACGCCGCGUUUAACGCAAUGCAAUACAACUUUCAGCAACGGAUCUCUUGGCUCUCGCAUCGAUGAAGAACGCAGCGAAAUGCGAUAAGUAAUGUGAAUUGCAGAAUUCAGUGAAUCAUCGAAUCUUUGAACGCACCUUGCGCCCUUUGGCCAUUCCAAAGGGCAUGCCUGUUUGAGUAUCAUGAACACCUCAACUCCUCAUGGCUUGCCAUGAUGAGCUUGGACUUUGGGGGUCUUGCUGGCCUGCAGUCAGCUCCUCUCAAAUGAAUCAGCUUGCCAGUGUUUGGUGGCGCCACAGGUGUGAUAAACAUCUACUCUUGUGGUCCCCUGCCGUGUAACCUUCAGCGAUGGAGGUUUGCUGGAGCUCACAAAUGUCUUUCCUCAGUGAAGACAGAUCUUUGAUUGUUUGAUCUCAAAUCAGGUAGGACUACCCGCUGAACUUAA
rnacentral:rRNA from 1 species